rnacentral:rRNA from 1 species
CUACGGGCCGCUGCAGUAGGGAAUUUUCGGCAAUGGGGGAAACCCUGACCGAGCAACGCCGCGUGAAGGAAGAAGGAAUUCGUUUCGUAAACUUCUGUUAUAAAGGAAGAAAGAUGAUAUCAGGAAAUGGAUGUCAAGUGACGGUACUUUAUGAGAAAGCCACGGCUAACUACGGUGCCAGCAGCCGCGGUAAUACGUAGGUGGCAAGCGUUAUCCGGAAUUAUUGGGCGUAAAGAGGGAGCAGGCGGUAACAAAGGUCUGUGGUGAAAGCCUGAAGCUUAACUUCAGUAAGCCAUAGAAACCAGGUAACUAGAGUGCAAGAGAGGAUCGUGGAAUUCCAUGUGUAGCGGUGAAAUGCGUAGAUAUAUGGAGGAACACCAGUGGCGAAGGCGACGAUCUGGCUUGUAACUGACGCUGAGUCCCGAAAGCGUGGGGAGCAAAUAGGAUUAGAUACCCCAGUAGUC